rnacentral:rRNA from 1 species
UACGUAGGGAGCGAGCGUUGUCCGAAGUUACUGGGCGUAAAGCGCGCGUAGGCGGGCUAUUAAGUGAGAGGUGAAAGGCUGGGGCUCAACCUCAUGCAGUGCCUCUCAUACUGGUAGGUCUUGGAGGGCUGGUAGAGAGAAGUGGAAAUGGCUGGUGUAGCGGUGAAAUGCGUAGAUAUCAGUCGGAACACCGGUGGCGAAGGCGGCUUCUUGGGCCGUUCCUGACGGCUGAUGGCGCAAAGCCAGGGGAGCGAACCCGG